GUGGGGAAUAUUGCGCAAUGGACGAAAGUCUGACGCAGCGACGCCGUGUGUGGGAGGAAGCUCUUCGGGGUGUAAACCACUGUCAGGAGGGAAGAAAGGCGCUGACUCGAAUAGGGUCUAGCGAUUGACGGUACCUCCAAAGGAAGCGCCGGCUAACUCCGUGCCAGCAGCCGCGGUAAGACGGAGGGCGCAAGCGUUGUUCGGAAUUACUGGGCGUAAAGCGCGGGCAGGUGGUCUGUUAAGUCGUUUGUGAAAAUCCGGGGCUCAACCCCGCGAAAUGCAUACGAUACUGGCAGACUGGAGACUGGUAGAGGCUAGCGGAAUUCCUGGUGUAGCGGUGGAAUGCGUAGAUAUCAGGAAGAACACCUGUGGCGAAGGCGGCUAGCUGGGCCAGAUCUGACACUCAUCCGCGAAAGCGUGGGGAGCAAACAGGAUUAGAUACCCCAGUAGUCC
rnacentral:rRNA from 1 species